AAGACCUUGCACUUUUGGAGCGGCCGAUGUCUGAUUAGCUAGUUGGUGGGGUAAUGGCCUACCAAAGCUUCGAUCAGUAGCUGGUCUGAGAGGACGGCCAGCCACACUGGGACUGAGACACGGCCCAGACUCCUACGGGAGGCAGCAGUGGGGAAUUUUGGACAAUGGGCGCAAGCCUGAUCCAGCCAUGCCGCGUGAGUGAAGAAGGCCUUCGGGUUGUAAAGCUCUUUCAGCCGGGAAGAAAAGGUUGCGACUAAUAAUCGCAAUUCAUGACGGUACCGAAAGAAGAAGCACCGGCUAACUACGUGCCAGCAGCCGCGGUAAUACGUAGGGUACGAGCGUUAAUCGGAAUUACUGGGCGUAAAGGGUGCGCAGGCGGUUUUGUAAGUCAGAUGUGAAAUCCCCGGGCUUAACCUGGGAACU
rnacentral:rRNA from 1 species